rnacentral:misc_RNA from 1 species
GAUGAAGAACGUAGCGAAAUGCGAUAAGUAAUGUGAAUUGCAGAAUUCAGUGAAUCAUCGAAUCUUUGAACGCACAUUGCGCCCGCCAGUAUUCUGGCGAGCAUGCCUGUUCGAGCGUCAUUUCAACCAUCAAGCCCCAGGCUUGUGUUGGAGCCCUGCGGCUGCCGCAGCCUCCCAAAACCAGUGGCGGGCUCGCUAUCACACCGAGUGCAGUAGUUUACUCUUCGCUCAGGGCGUGUGGCGGGUGCUAGCCGUGAAACCCCCAACUUCUCAAGGUUGACCUCGAAUCAGGUAGGAAUACCCGCUGAACUUAAGCAUAUCAAUAAGCGGAGGA